rnacentral:rRNA from 1 species
CUAUACAUGACUCUGCGCAUAUCAAUAAGCGGAGGAAAAGAAACUAACAAGGAUUCCCCUAGUAACGGCGAGUGAAGCGGGAAGAGCUCAAAUUUGAAAUCUUAAAGGGUUUCCCUUUACGAAUUGUAGUUUAAAGAAGUGUUUUCUGUUGAGGUUUUGGUAAAAGUUCUUUGGAAUAGGACAUCAUAGAGGGUGAGAAUCCCGUAUUUGACCUUUACUUUCAACUUUGUGAUACACUUUCAAAGAGUCGGAUUGUUUGGGAAUGCAGUCCAAAAUGGGUGGUAAAUUUCAUCUAAAGCUAAAUAUUGGCGAGAGACCGAUAGCGAACAAGUACCGUGAGGGAAAGAUGAAAAGAACUUUGAGAAGAGAGUUAAACAGUACGUGAAAUUGUCAAAAGGGAAGCGUUUGACACCAGUGUUGUUUUUCUGAAAAUCAAUUAAAGAACUGUUUAUGCAAAGUUGUUUAGACUUUAUCAGCUAACUGUUUAGUUUUGAGCUUUUCUUUAAUGCACUUUUCAGUUAACAAGUCAACAUCAAUUUCUUUUGCUGUAAAAAAGCUUGAGGAAGGUGGCUUGAGAUUCGUCUUAAGUGUUUAUAGCCUCUUGCCUAUGCAGUCGGAGAGAUUGAGGUCUGCAGCGUAGAUCCUUCGGGGCUAAAUGCAUUUGUGCUAAGUUAUAGCAUUUUAUAGACAACUUGUUGACUAUGAUUUGUCUUGUAGCUUACUCGCUUAUGUUAUUUUACCUACGCUUAGGAUGUUGAUCUACAGAGCGAGAGU